AGAAUCAACGCUGGCGGCGUGCCUAACACAUGCAAGUCGAACGGGAAAGUGGAGCAAUCCAUGAGUAUAGUGGCGACCGGGUGAGUAACACGUGACUAACCUACCCUUGAGUGGGGGAUAACCUCGGGAAACCGGGGCUAAUACCGCAUAAAAUCUUCGGGAUGAGAAGCUGGAGAUCAAAGGAGCAAUUCGCUUUUGGAGGGGGUCGCGGCUGAUUAGCUAGUUGGCGGGGUAACGGCCCACCAAGGCUUUGAUCGGUAUCCGGCCUGAGAGGGCGCGACGGACGACGACUGGAACUGAAACACGGUCCAGACUCCUACGGGAGGCAGCAGUGGGGAAUUUUGCGCAAUGGGGGAAACCCUGACGCAGCAACGCCGCGUGGAGGAUGAAGUCCCUUGGGACGUAAACUCCUUUCGACCGGGAAGAUGAUGACGGUACCGGUGGAAGAAGCCCCGGCUAACUUCGUGCCAGCAGCCGC
rnacentral:rRNA from 1 species